rnacentral:lncRNA from 1 species
CUUUUUCAGGAUGGUUUUGGCUAUUCUGGGUCCCUUGCGAUUCCAUCUGAAUUUUAGAAUCAGUUUGCCAAUCUCUACAAGGAGCUCGGCUGGAAUUCUGACGGGGAUUGCAAUGAAUCUGUAGAUCAGUUUGGUGAGUAUUGCCACCUUAACAUUGUUGAGUCUCCCGAUCUGUAAGCAUGGGGUAUUCUUCCAAUUAUCUAGAUCUUUUAACAUUCCUGUCAAAGUUUUGUAGUUUUCAGAGUCUAAGUAUUGCCCUUAUUUUGCUAAAUCUGUUUCUCAGCAUUUCAUACUUUUUGAGGCUAUUGGAAAUAGAAUUGUUUAGGGCGCCUGGCUGGCUCGGUCGGAAGAGCGUGCAACUCUUGAUCUCAGAGUCAUGAGUUUGAGCCCCACGUUGGGUAUAGAGAUUGCUUAACUAAAUAACAAACUUAAAAAAAAAAGGAAAUAAAAUUGUUUUCUUCAUUUCAUUUUUGGGUUGCCCAGUGACGCGCAGACAAAUGCUUAUUGUGUUCAGCACUGUGAGAGGUGCUGGGGAUUUAGCAGCAAGCAUGUUAUGAGGAUGAAUGAGAUAAUAUAUUAAAGCGUAAUAAUGUGCUUUGUGCGGUGGCUUUUCCUGCCUCUCCCCUUUUCUUUAAGCGUGUCACAUGAAGGCCUCUUGCAGAGGAAGGAAGGAGCUCUUUAACUACACGAAGAGAAGACUUGUGAGUUGGUGAUGUAUCUCGAAGCAGCCAGAGGACCUGAGCAUUUACGAGGCAGGCAGACAUGCCCACUUUGGGGUGUCUGUGAGGCCAGAGCCAGACUCCAGAGAGGCAGAGGGAGCUACUCCUGGGACAUGGGCAUCCUUGGGAGGCCUGGGGGAGGAGCCCCGAGCUGAGGGGCCCAGUGGAGGCCCGUGUUGUCCGUGAGGGGCUCCUGUAGGAAGCAGCCUGAUCUCCCCCAGCUCUUGCCCCUGAGCCGGGCUUCCUCCUCCAUAGAUUUUCAUCUUUCAUCAUGUGGCUUCUCUUCAAUUUUCACAUCCCCUUGGAGUGUCUUCUUCUUUUUGGCCCACGUCUCCUGCCGUGUUUCCCUCCCUCCUCCACCACACCUCUCUAGCAGGCAGGUAAUCGGCAGCAGGAUCUGUUGGGGACCCCUGGAUUGUGCCAGACCCUGCCCAUCGGACUGGAUGGGGAGAAGGAAAGGUCACAGGUCAAACCACGGAAAACUGAGGCCCAACUGUGGAUGCGUGGCCCUGGGCCUGGCGGGAUGGGAACGAAGGAGAAAAUGGCAUCCCAGUCCUGGUACCUGUAUGCUCUUCAUACAAGGCCAGGCAUCAUGCAUGGGGCUGUGACCCCAUUCAGAGGAAAGAGGUUAUCGUGGGCUGCAGGCCUGGGUGGGGGGCUUGGUGCAGGAUGUCCUAGGGUCUCGGGGCUAGUGGAGUGUGGCUAAGUACUUCGGGACUCUGACUGGGAGAUGGCCUCCGUGUUGGGGGUAGGCAGACAGAGCUGCCCCCAAGGAAAGGGAUUCUGGCCAGAGGGGUGAACUGAGAAACCACAAAGUGAUGCCAAAUGUGUGGACUGUGGCCCCAGGCUGCUUGGCUUAAAGCUAGCUGCUGACUAGCUGUGUGACCUUUGGAAAAUUACUUAACUUCUCUGGGCCUCAGUUUACUCAGUGGUAAAAUGAGGUGAGGAUCAUAGGCCUUAGCUUAGACUGUAGGUCUCAGAGCAGGGUUUCUCACGGUCAACACUGUUGCCAUUUGGGACUGGAUGGUUGUUCACUGUGACGGGCUCUCCUGUGCACUGUAGGAUGUUUAACAGAUCCUGGCUCUUUAGAUCCCAGGAGUAUGCCCUGUCCCGAGUUAUGACAACCAAAAAUGUCUCUAGACAUUGCCAAAUGUCCCCUGGCAACAAAAUCGACCCUGAUUGAGGAAUAUUGGCCUAGAGGGUGACACAGGAUUUAGAGGAGUCAAUAUAUUCAAUGCACUUAGAACAGUGCCUGGCCCAGAAGCAGCCCUCAGUAAUUUUUUUUUUAAUUUUUUAAAAGUUUAUUUAUUUAUUUUUGAGAGAGAGCAGGGGAGGGGCAGAGAGAUAGGGAGAGAGCGAGAAUGUCAAGCAGGCUCUGCCCUGUCAGCACAGAGCCCGAUGCGGGGCUCGAACUCACAAACCCCGAGACCGUGACCUGAGCCUAAACCAAGAGUCUGAGCCACGCAGGCGCCCCUAUUGUUAUUCUUAUCUAUUGUUAUCAUUACAAGCAGGCCACAGAGGCAAAAACAUAAGAGAACAAAAAGAUCAAAGUCAGAACAGAAGAAUGUGUCUAAUAUUCUUAGUGAUUGGAAGCAGGGUCUGGGAUAA